UACGUAAGGUGCAAGCGUUAAUCGGAAUUACUGGGCGUAAAGCGUGCGCAGGCGGUUUGUAAGUCUGUCGUGAAAGCCCCGGGCUCCAACCUGGGAAUUGCGAUGGAGACUGCAAGGCUUGAAUCUGGCAGAGGGGGGUAGAAUCCACGUGUAGCAGUGAAAUGCGUAGAUAUCGGGAGGAACACCAGUGGCGAAGGCGGUUGCCUGGAGCUUUGCUGACGCUGAGGCGCGAAAGCGUGGGGAGCGAUCCGG
rnacentral:rRNA from 1 species